AACGCUGGCGGCGGCCUAAACAUGCAAGUCGAACGGUAACAUUUCUAGCUUGCUAGAAGAUGACGAGUGGCGGACGGGUGAGUAAUGCUUGGGAACUUGCCUUUGCGAGGGGGAUAACAGUUGGAAACGACUGCUAAUACCGCGUAAUGUCUUCGGACCAAACGGGGCUUCGGCUCCGGCGCAGAGAGAGGCCCAAGUGAGAUUAGCUAGUUGGUGAGGUAAAGGCUUACCAAGGCAACGAUCUCUAGCUGUUCUGAGAGGAAGAUCAGCCACACUGGGACUGAGACACGGCCCAGACUCCUACGGGAGGCAGCAGUGGGGAAUAUUGCACAAUGGGGGAAACCCUGAUGCAGCCAUGCCGCGUGUGUGAAGAAGGCCUUCGGGUUGUAAAGCACUUUCAGUUGUGAGGAAAAGUUAGUAGUUAAUACCUGCUAGCCGUGACGUUAACAACAGAAGAAGCACCGGCUAACUCCGUGCCAGCAGCCGCGGUAAUACGGAGGGUGCGAGCGUUAAUCGGAAUUACUGGGCGUAAAGCGCACGCAGGCGGUUUGUUAAGCUAUAUGUGAAAGCCCCGGGCUCAACCUGGGAUGGUCAUUUA
rnacentral:rRNA from 1 species